UUGAUUUUAUCCAUUUCAUAUAUUUCCUCAAUAUGGCAGGAAGUAUCUACCGGAAGCCGUAAAUUUCCGACUAUGAAUGGAGUUAUUAUA
rnacentral:ncRNA from 1 species